GCAGAGCCACAACCAUGCUUGUGGGUGCCAUUGAUGCCGGACGAACACCCCGCAUAGGUGGGGUGAGCAACAUCGGC
rnacentral:ncRNA from 1 species